UAAUCGGACUAGCUAAGGGGUUCCAACUGUUCCACUACCGAACACAGUAGUUAAGCCCAUAUACGCUGAAAGUACUUGGCUGGAAGGCCUGGGAGGAUAAGUAGUUGCUGGUUA
rnacentral:rRNA from 1 species